rnacentral:rRNA from 1 species
CAGGUGGCUGCAUGGCUGUCGUCAGCUCGUGUCGUGAGAUGUUGGUUAAGUCCCGCAACGAGCGCAACCCCUAUCUCUAGUUGCCAGCGAUCGUCGGGGACUCUAGAGAUACUGCCCCGGUUAACGGGGAGGAAGGUGGGGAUGACGUCAAGUCCUCAUGGCCCUUAUGCCCAGGGCUACACACGUGCUACAAUGGGCGGUACAAAGGGUAGCGAUGCCGCGAGGUGAAGCCAAUCCCAAAAAGCCGUCCACAGUUCGGAUUGGAGUCUGCAACUCGACUCCAUGAAGCCGGAAUCGCUAGUAAUCGUGGAUCAGCAUGCCACGGUGAAUACGUUCCCGGGCCUU